AACUUGUUGAUUUUGCAGUAUCGUAGCCAGUGAGGUUUAUCCAAGGUGUGAUUAUUGCUAAUUGAAAACAUUUUUAUGAACUUGUUAAUUUUGCAUAGUAUGAAGUAAAAAACUAGAUUUCACUGCUUUAGAAAUGAAUUGUUAGUC